UACGUAGGUGGCAAGCGUUAUCCGGAUUUACUGGGUGUAAAGGGCGUGUAGGCGGGAGUGCAAGUCAGAUGUGAAAACCCGGGGCCCAACCCCGGGAGUGCAUUUGAAACUGCCAUGCUGGAGUGCCGGAGAGGUAAGCGGAAUUCCUGGUGUAGCGGUGAAAUGCGUAGAUAUCAGGAGGAACACCAGUGGCGAAGGCGGCUUACUGGACUGUAACUGACGUUGAGGCUCGAAAGCGUGGGGAGCAAACAGG
rnacentral:rRNA from 1 species